rnacentral:tRNA from 3 species
GGGGUCGUAGCUUAAUGGUAGAGCGCCCCGCCCGCAGCGGGGAGGUUGGGGGUUCAAGUCCCCCCGACUCCA